rnacentral:rRNA from 1 species
UGAGCAACCUGCCCUUGAGCCUGGAAUAACAGCUGGAAACAGCUGCUAAUACCGGAUACGACCUCCGAUGGCAUCAUCUGGAGGUGGAAAGCUCCGACGGUCAAGGAUGGGCUCGCGGCCUAUCAGCUUGUUGGUGAGGUAACGGCUCACCAAGGCUUCGACGGGUAGCCGGCCUGAGAGGGCGACCGGCCACACGUGGGACUGAGAUACGGCCCAGACCUNUACGGGAG